AGCAGCCGCGGUAAUUCCAGCUCCAAUAGCGUAUAUUAAAGUUGUUGCAGUUAAAAAGCUCGUAGUUGAAUUUUGGGUCUGGCCGGGCGGUCCACCUUCCGGUGAGCACUGUUCCGACGUCGGGCCUAUCCUUCUGGUGAGACAGCAUGCCCUUCGUUGGGUGUGUUGGGGAACCAGGACCAUUACCUUGAAAAAUUAGAGUGUUCAAAGCAGGCAUUUGCUCGAAUACAUUAGCAUGGAAUAAUGAAAUAGGACGCGUGGUACUAUUUUGUUGGUUUCUAGGACCGCCGUAAUGAUUAAUAGGGAUAGUUGGGGGCAUUAGUAUUCAAUUGUCAGAGGUGAAAUUCUUGGAUUUAUUGAAGACUAACUUCUGCGAAAGCAUUUGCCAAGGAUGUUUUCAUUAAUCAAGAACGAAAGUUAGGGGAUCGAAGACGAUCAGAUACCGUCGUA
rnacentral:rRNA from 1 species